GGAUGAUCUGGCUACAACAUCUGUCACUCAAUUCAUCAUCAGGUUUGAUGCAUCUGAUCUGGUUGGCUAGGUGUGUCCUCUUCCUCCAUGUGCAUCCCUCCUAAAAAUGCGCACUUGGUCAAAAACGAUGACCUUCCCCAACAGAAAGGACCAUUCUUGGUUCCAUGCUGGAACCUCCGAACAAGUUCUCAAGAACCAGACUUCCUGAGUGUAGCCCUGUAGCCUUU
rnacentral:sRNA from 1 species